rnacentral:lncRNA from 1 species
GUUAUGUUAUCUGAUAUGAUACUUUCCAUUUGUAUCUUGAGAUACUUUGAUGCAUCUGCAAGUUUCUUAUUAUAUAUAAUGUAGGAGAAAACAAGUAUGCUCAAAAUUACUUGCUUGGAAAUUUCCUAACUCUGACCAACCUUGCUUCAUUUGAAUGAAAUGUCUGUUAGUGUCUCAAAAUAUUUGUAUUUCUUGCUCAAAGUAUAAUAUUUUCAUUCCGAAGCAAUUUAUUGGAGUUUCUUUAGCUGCUUAACGUGAAAGCACUUUAUGCACUGCGCUGUCAGCGGUUUAGCUUGUCGCUUUUGUAUUUAAUGGGAGUCGCUGCUCUGCUUGCCGACCAGCUAGUGGGUCGCCACCUAAUUACAAGAACGUCAGUAAGAAGCUUCUGCACCAUGGUGCAAAUACCGCUGUGUAGUUUUAACUUUUUCGUAAACGUAGUAUCAUUUACACAAUACUGGAUAACGUGUGCAGAAGCAACAACGCUGGUAGCGACAUUUUUUUUGUGACGCAUCAUGUAUACAGAGAGCACAUAAAGCUGCAAUAACCAUUCAUAUUCUACUUGUCUGCUGGCGUAAAGCGUUCGUUUGCGAUGUAUUCUUGAACAUGUAAUCUUUUUACAAUUUUUCUUCGAUGAGAAAACUUGUGCAUCCAAAAAACGGUUCAUACAUAUUGUAGUGGCACAUAGUGUCGCAGUAUACUGCCGCUAUUCACACUACUGCCACUUCUAGCCCUAAUUGCCUGGUGAUUUGCAGCAGUUAGAAAUUUAAGGGUGUGCUAAAAAAGAGAGAA